rnacentral:rRNA from 1 species
CGUAACAAGGUUUCCGUAGUGGAACCCUGCGGAAGGAUCAUUGUCGAAACCUGCCCAGCAGAACGACCCGCGAACCCGUGUUAAACAUCGGGGGGUGCCCGAGCCUCGCGUUCGUGCGUCCCCCACCCGCGCGGUGCGGGGCGUCGGCGUGCGCUUUGGCGUGCGUCCGGCCUCCCGCGUCGUGCGAUAACGAACCCCGGCGCGGACCGCGCCAAGGAAAUCUUAACGAGAGAGCUUGCCCCCCGUCGCCCCGGGAACGGCGUGCGUGCGGGGYGGCCUGGCCUUCUUUCACGAUCCAAAACGACUCUCGGCAACGGAUAUCUCGGCUCUCGCAUCGAUGAAGAACGUAGCGAAAUGCGAUACUUGGUGUGAUUUGCAGAAUCCCGUGAACCAUCGAGUCUUUGAACGCAAGUUGCGCCCCAAGCCUUUAGGCCGAGGGCACGUCUGCCUGGGUGUCACGCAUCGUUGCCCCCCCUAACUCUCCGACCCCUCGCCCCGUSGCGGGCGCGGGGCCGAUCUGGGACGGGCGGAGACUGSCCUCCCGUGCGCUUCGGCUCGCGGUUGGCCCAAAUUCGAGUCCUCGGCGACGCUUCCCGCGACGAUCGGUGGUGUUUGACAAAACUGCCUCGAGCUCCCGUCGCGCGGUCGCGUCUCCGCUCGGGGACCCCGCGGACCCUGAAGCGUCGUACGCUCACGUCGCGACCCAGGUCAGGCGGGAUUUUUUUUAUUUAUUUUAUUUUUAUUUAAUU